CGCAGGUGCCUGCAUGAACAAUAAAGCUGCCUCUUGCCUUUGCAUCCAGUGGCUCGGUCUUGGUUCUUGGGCGUGGGUCUCCCACCACGGAAGAUUCUCCCUACCCCGGGAAUCUUACAGGGUUCCUUCAAUGACAGUAUAACUGCUUAGACAUUCCCGGCAGUAGAACAUGAGAAGGCAUGCAGCAUGGACCACACAAUUAGUUCCUCUCCAAUAGACUCUAUUUGGAUUCCUGGUUAAUCUACAUGCCAUGUUUCCCAUGAAGUUGGUGUAAACAGGGCACAUCUUUCUCAACUCUGAGGAAGGAAGAAUGUAAGAAGAUGCCUCCAGUGUUUCUCCACCCUCACUAAUUUUCUCCCUGCACUAAUUUUCUCCCUGUCAGAGGAAUGACUCCACAGACUAAAGAAAUUGGAGCAGAGACUGAGUUCCUACCACAUGGCUGAUGCUAUUCUUGAGAGCUUCCAUAGAGUUUUGAGCUCAUUCAAUUUGGGAUAGGGACAGUCACUUGAAAUUGGACUCCACCUCUACUGAUUCAGCGAAACCAGCUAGCCAGCAAUCUACCUAUGCUUCUUCAUCACUGGGACUACAGACCUGCACCAACAUGCCUGAAAUUUACCUUGUCUUCC